rnacentral:rRNA from 1 species
GCGGUUUAAUUGGAUUCAACGCCGGAAAUCUUACCGGGACCGACAGCAAUAUGAAGGCCAGGCUGAAGACUUUGCCGGAUUAGCUGAGAGGUGGUGCAUGGCCGUCGUCAGUUCGUACUGUGGAGCAUCCUGUUAAGUCAGGCAACGAGCGAGACCCACGCCCACAGUUGCCAGCGUACUCUCUGGAGUGACGGGUACACUGUGGGACCGCCGCUGCUAAAGCGGAGGAAGGAAUGGGCAACGGUAGGUCAGUAUGCCCCGAAUAUCCCGGGCUACACGCGAGCUACAAUGGUUGGUACAAUGGGUAUCUACCCCGAAAGGGGACGGGAAUCUCCUAAAACCAAUCUUAGUUCGGAUUGAGGGCUGCAACUCGCCCUCAUGAAGCUGGAAUCCGUAGUAAUCGCGUUUCAACAGAACGCGGUGAAUACGUCCCUGCUCCUU